rnacentral:rRNA from 1 species
AACUGCCUGAUGGCGGGGGAUAACUACUGGAAACGGUAGCUAAUACCGCAUAAUGUCUGCGGACCAAAGCGGGGGACCUCCGGGCCUCGCGCCAUCAGAUGAACCCAUAUGGGAUUAGCUAGUAGGUAAGGUAACGGCUUACCUAGGCGACGAUCCCUAGCUGGUCUGAGAGGAUGAUCAGCCACACUGGGACUGAGACACGGCCCAG